AACGAACGCUGGCGGCAUGCCUAACACAUGCAAGUCGAACGAGACCUUCGGGUCUAGUGGCGCACGGGUGCGCAACGCGUGGGAAUCUGCCCUUAGGUUCGGAAUAAGAGUUAGAACUGACUGCUAAUACCGGAUGAUGAUUUCGGUCCAAAGAUUUAUCGCCUAAGGAUGAGCCCGCGUAGGAUUAGCUUGUUGGUGAGGUAAAAGCUCACCAAGGCGACGAUCCUUAGCUGGUCUGAGAGGAUGAUCAGCCACACUGGGACUGAGACACGGCCCAGACUCCUACGGGAGGCAGCAGUGGGGAAUAUUGGACAAUGGGCGAAAGCCUGAUCCAGCAAUGCCGCGUGAGUGAUGAAGGCCUUAGGGUUGUAAAGCUCUUUUACCCGGGAUGAUAAUGACAGUACCGGGAGAAUAAGCUCCGGCUAACUCCGUGCCAGCAGCCGCCGUAACAC
rnacentral:rRNA from 1 species